rnacentral:misc_RNA from 1 species
AACUUUCAACAACGGAUCACUUGGCUCUCGCAUCGAUGAAGAACGCAGCGAAAUGCGAUACGUAAUGUGAAUUGCAAAAUUCAGUGAAUCAUCGAAUCUUUGAACGCACCUUGCGCCCCUUGGUAUUCCGAGGGGUGCAUCCGUUUGAGUGUCGUGAACACCCUCAACCUUCUUGGUUUAUCGACCGGGAAGGAUUGGACUUUGGAGGUUUUUGUUGCUGGCCUCGUUUGAAGCCAGCUCCUCCUAAAUGAAUUAGUGGGGUCCGCCGUGCCGAUCCUCGACGUGAUAAGUACGCUUCUACGUCUUGGGGUUUCGCACCGUUCUCGCUUCCAACUUCGAGUUGUGACUCGACCUUAUAAACCUUGACCUCAAAUCGGGUGAGACUACCCGCUGAACUUAAGCAUAUCAAUAAGCGGAGGCU